rnacentral:rRNA from 1 species
AUAUCAAUAAGCGGAGGAAAAGAAACUAACUAGGAUUCCCUUAGUAGCGGCGAGCGAACCGGGAUCAGCCCAACUUGUAAAUCAUUAGCCCUUGGCUAAUUGAAUUGUAGUCUCAAGAUGCGAUCUCUGCAGCUAGCAGUGCCCAAUUUUCCUUGGAAAAGGGAGUCAGAGAGGGUGAGAACCCCGUCGGCACUUGCCUGAGCUGCUCCACGAGGCGUUUUCUCAGAGUCGGGUUGCUUGGGAAUGCAGCCCUAAGUAGGUGGUAAAUCCCAUCUAAGGCUAAAUACUGACGGGAGACCGAUAGCGAACAAGUACCGUGAGGGAAAGAUGAAAAGAACUUUGAAAAGAGAGUCAAAAGUGCUUGAAAUUGUUGAGGGGGAAGGAAUUGGAAGCCGUUUCUGCGCCCGGGCUUAAAUGGGCAAUUCUGCCUUUUGUACGCCUUGGGUGCCGGUCAGCAUCGGCUACCGGACCGGGAUAAUAACUUCCAUUGGAGAGUGCAUGCCGGCCCGGUGGCCGAGGAAUUGAAAGGCGCUCUUUGAGUCCUUCGGGAACUGCGCCUUCAAGAUGCUGGCAGAAGGCCUUCAAUUCGCCCGUCUUGAAACACGGACCAAGGAGUCUAACAUGUAUGCGAGCCGGUGGGUUUAACACCCAUGAGACGCAAGUAACCUGACUGGUGGGAUGGCUUAUGCCUGCACCAUCGACCGACCAUGAUCUUCUGUGAAAGGUUUGAGUACGAGCAUACCUGUUGGGACCCGAAAGAUGGUGAACUAUGCCUGAGCAGGGCGAAGCCAGAGGAAACUCUGGUGGAGGCUCGUAGAUGUGCUGACGUGCAAAUCGCUUUUCGGACUUGGGUAUAGGGGCGAAAGACUAAUCGAACCAUCUAGUAGCUGGUUCCCUCCGAAGUUUCCCCCAGGAUAGCUGGAGCUUGAUCAGUUUUAUCGGGUAAAGCGAAUGAUUAGAGGUACCGGGGAUGAAACAUCCUCGACCUAUUCUCAAACUUUAAAUAGGUAAGACGUCUGGGUUGCUUAAUUGAACCCAGGCAUUCAAUGAGAGCUCCAAGUGGGCCAUUUUUGGUAAGCAGAACUGGCGAUGCGGGAUGAACCGAAAGCUGAGUUAAGGCGGCCCAACUGCGCGCUAACCUAGAUCCCACAAAGGGUGUUGAUUCAUAUAGACAGCAGGACGGUGGUCAUGGAAGUCGAAACCCGCUAAGGAGUGUGUAACAACUCACCUGCCGAAUGAAUUAGCCCCGAAAAUGGAUGGCGCUGAAGCGCGCGGCCUAUACUCAGCCAUGGGGACAAGUGCGAGGUCCCCAUGAGUAGGAGGGCGUGGG